ACCAGGCUUCCAUCCAGCCUUCGAGCUUUGAUUUUAGUGGAUGUCCAGUCAGCGAUAGAUUGGUCACCCUUUUCCAACUUGGAGAAUUUGUCAGAGCUGUGUAUUGGUGGAUAUUCGCUCACAGAGCUGACCAUUCCGCCUUGUCUGAAGGAGAUCCGGUGUUUGACCCUGCAACAAUUGCCUCAGCUUGCUGAGAUUCAGGAUUUGGGAGAACUGGAAUCAUUGCAGCUGUUGCGUGUCCAGUCCUGCGAUUCCAUCAAAAGCUUAGAUCUGUCUAAUUUAAGAAAUAUGAAACGAUUGGAACUCUGUUAUUGUGAAUCACUGGAGCGCGUGUUGGCUGUGCCAGAAUCUUGUGAACUCAUCCUAGGGAGCUGCCCAAGGUUCAACAAAGAUGGAUAAGUAUUCUGGACUUACUUGAUGCAGCACUUCCGAGACCUGAUAGGCUUGAAGACUUCUGUUGUGUCGUGUUUCUUCUAACAUGAGAGGCUGGAUAUCGUUAAAGUUGAUACAAGAAAGGUUGUUCAAGCUCUGCUUCCAGAUGCACGGCUGCAAGCGGAGAGAGUGAUCAGCAUGGGAAAGAGCCAGUUAUAACACUCUCUUCUCAAGUUCGUCGCUUCAAAGGCGAGCACGUCAAUCUCAGAUGCUG